rnacentral:rRNA from 1 species
AGAUGUUGGGUUAAGUCCCGCACGAGCGCAACCCUUGUGUUAGUUGCAAACAGGUCAAGCUGUGCACUCUAGACAGACUGCCGUGGACAACACGGAGGAAGGUGGGGAUGACGUCAAAUCAUCAUGCCCCUUAUGAUCUGGGCUACACACGUGCUACAAUGGCCGGUACAACGGGCAGCGAAGGAGCGAUCCGGAGCGAAUCCUAAAAAGCCGGUCCCGGUUCGGAUUGCAGGCUGAAACUCGCCUACAUGAAGUUGGAGUUGCUAGUAAUCGCGAAUCAGAAUGUCGCGGUGAAUGCGUUCCCGGGUCUU